rnacentral:lncRNA from 1 species
GUCACAUGCACACCAGUUCCUUGGAAGCUCUUCGUGAAGAAAGUAUCACGUCUUCCUUCAAGAGAGACCAAGAAUCUCAAACAGGUGCAUCCUACCAUCAAAGGAAGUCGAUUUCAUCAGCCCAAUGGAUGGGAAAACACUGCAUCCUUUUUAGAUAAAACUGUCCCCUCUGAAACCAGAGUUCCAAAGGAGCAAAUUACUAACUGCACUGGCACUGGUACAGGAUUAGAGAUGAGGAUCCUAUCUCCUGUUUCUGCCGCUGUUCAUCAUUUCUAAGCUACUGACACACAGAAACUACCUGAUCUGCUUCUCGUCCGAGGCUCCUCAGGGCUAGGAGAGGAACGGCCAGGGACACAAACAGCGCACAAUCCCUGCGCGUCUGUGAGAGAGGAACACCCAGCCCAGGGCCUGGGCUCGACUUUGCUCUGCGGAAAUCUCCCCAAGAUAUUAAAUGUUCACAAGGAGCAGAUGGACGCCCUGUUUCUCCAAGGCCUUCUUCCAAAGGCCCUCCACACGAAGAGGCCAGGGAUGAGCCCCAACUCCCUCUGAAGGAGGGGAGGGAGGAAAGGCUAAGUUGAUUUUGCUUCUGUUCCAGUCUGAGGUUUUCCUGGCUCCAACUCUGACUCAGAAGGAGGGAAGCGGCCUGGGUGGAAAAAAAAGAUUCUAUUCAUAGCUCCACUGCUGGCGCGGCUGCUCUCGUCGCUCCCUGGGCCUCUCGCUCAGUCUGUGAAAUGGGGCGAGGAUGCUGACCUCAGAUGAACAUCUGAGACUUAAUUUAUAUGUGCAGGGCUUUGAAAUCGAGAACAAAAGGUGUAAUUUGAACAUAAAGCGUUGCUAUUAUUUCUCUGCCACUUCUGCCAGCACUCUGUUGUCUUCACUGUACACUGUUAUCCAGGGUUUUGUUUAGAAAGUAUUACUACUCGUCCAACAACACCCACACCACUAAGCCUCUGCUGUUCAGAGGGGGCUGCAUGUACAGCACAAGGACAGUCUUGGUAGUGGCUCUGAUAUUUUUGCUUAUUAAUUAAAAGAAAACUUUAAAACAUAUAGAAGGAUGGUAAUUUCCCGUAAACACUGGGAAACUUUCUGCUUUAGAACCAAAGCAAAAGACCUCUUUCACCUUCUGUCCCAACACAACGUAUGCACGCUGAGCAUUCCCC